GUCUCGAGAUGUUCAGGUGCCACUUUAAGAACACAUGGGGCUCUCCAGAUGUUCAGGUGCCACCUUAAGGACCCCCAGGGGUCUCCAGAUGUUCGGGUGCCAACUUAAGGGCACCCAGUUGGUCUCCAGAUGUUCGGGUACCACCUUAAGGACCCCCAGGGCUCUCCAGAUGUUCAGGUGCCACCUUAAGGAUGCACAGGGCUCUCCAGAUGUUCAGGUGCCACCUUAAGGCCCCCCAGGGCUCUCCAGAUGUUCAGGUGCCACCUUAAGGACACCCAGGAGUCUCCAAAUAUUCAGGGGGUCUCGAGAUGUUCAGGUGCCACCUUAAGGACCCCCAGGGCUCUCCAGAUGUUCAGGUGCCACCUUAAGNGGCCAUCCGUUGGGGUUUGGUGGUCAUCCGUUGGGGUUUGGUGGCCAUCUGUUGGGGUGGCCAUCCACUGGGAGUUUUGGUGGCCAUCUAUUGCGGUUUGGUGGCCAUCCGUUGAGGUUUGGUGGCCUUCUGUUGGGGUUUGGUGGCCAUCUGUUGGGGUUUGGUGGCCGUCCAUUGGGGUUUGGUGGCCAUCUGUUGGGGUGGCCAUCCAUUGGGAGCUCUCUUUGCCAUCUAUUGGGGUUUGGUGGUCAUCUGUUGGGGUUUGGUGGCCAUCUGCUGGGAUGGCCGUCCAUUGGGAGCUCUCUUGGCCAUCCAUGGGGCUUUGGUGGCCAUCCAUUGAGGUUUGGUGGCCAUCUGUUGGGGUGGCCAUCCAUUGGGAGUUCUCUUGGCCAUCCAUUGGGGUUUGGUGGCCAUCCAUUGAGGUUUGGUGGCCAUCUGUUGGGGUGGCCAUCCAUUGGGAGCUCUCUUGGCCAUCCAUGGGAGUUUUGGUGGCCAUCCAUUGGGGUUUGGUGGCCAUCCAUGGGGGUUUGGUGGCCAUCCGUUGGGGUGGCCAUCCAUUGCAAGUUUUGGUGGCCAUCUAUUGGGGUUUGGUGGCCAUCUGUUGGGUUUUGGUGGUCGUCUGUUGGGGUGGCCAUCCAUUGGAAGUUUUGGUGGCCAUCCGUUGGGGUUUGGUGGCCAUCCAUUGGGGUUUGGUGGCCAUCCAUGGGGUUUGGUGGCCAUCCGUUGGGGUUUGGUGGCCAUCCGUUGGGGUUUGGUGGCCAUUCGUUGGGGUUUGGGGCCAUCCAUUGGGGCUUGGUGGUCGUCUGUUGGGGUUUGGUGGCCAUCCAUGGGGAGUUUUGUUGGCCAUCCAUUGAGGUUUGGUCGCCGUUUGUUGGGGUUUGGUGGCCAUCUGUUGGGGUGGCCAUCCAUGGGGAGUUUUGGUGGCCAUCUGUUGGGGUUUGGUGGCCAUCUGUUCAGGUGGCCAUCCAUUGGGAGUUCUCUUGGCCAUCCAUGGUGCUUUGGUGGCCAUUCAUUGGGAGUUUUGGUGGCCAUCCAUGGGGGUUUGGUGGCCAUCCAUGGGGGUUUGGUGGCCAUCCAUGGGGGUUUAGUGGCCAUCUGUUGGGGUGGCCAUCCAUUGAGGUUUGGUGGCCAUCC
rnacentral:lncRNA from 1 species